CCCUACGGGGGGCAGCAGUGAGGAAUAUUGGUCAAUGGGCGGAAGCCUGAACCAGCCAAGUCGCGUGAGGGAAGACGGUCCUACGGAUUGUAAACCUCUUUUGUCGGGGAGCAAAAGACGCCACGCGUGGCGUUCCGAGAGUACCCGAAGAAAAAGCAUCGGCUAACUCCGUGCCAGCAGCCGCGGUAAUACGGAGGAUGCGAGCGUUAUCCGGAUUUAUUGGGUUUAAAGGGAGCGUAGACGGUGCAGCAAGUCUGAUGUGAAAGGUCGGGGCCCAACCCCGGGACUGCAUUGGAAACUGUUGA
rnacentral:rRNA from 1 species